CUGAUCCACUAACAGGUAAACCCGAAGUUUGAAUAGCCUGAAAUUCCAGUUGCAGUUGCCCGUGUUUGGGACAUACUCGACAUUUUGGUCAACCCCCCAAAAAAUCACUAGGCAGACUAACGAAACAACAUGACAUCCCCCAAAAAGCAAGGUUUAUUACGGGAGGCAUCUCACCAGAUCAUUGCCGGUGGAUCAGCAGGAUUUUCCGUCUUCACUCUGGCUAGCUGCCCCCCAGGAAGCGGACUUCAGUGGAGCCCAGUGCUAUGUUCUCCUCUGAAUGGCUGUUCACUGGGGUGCAUUUCAUAACGGAUCUCUCUGCUCUCUGUGCUGCAGCAGCCUCAACAUAUGGGGCCCAGGGGACAAUCUGCACCAGCCACCAAUUUAUCAGCUCAUAUCCACACCAAUGCAGACUGACACACUCAAGGAUGCAUCGAAACGGAGACGCAAGCAUGCAUAAUCACACAUGCGCGCGCACACACCCAUAGAGAAACACUAGACACACACACACACCCGUCAUGAUUUUCUAAAAUGACUGAGUUGAUAGCGAGGUUUUUCUUAAAGGUAAUGUCGUCACGUGGUUCUACACAGACCAUUUCUCUUUUCUAUGCUCUGAUUUUGUUCUGAUUUAUUUGAGGAAAUGUUUUGUUUAGUCAAAUCUACAUUUUGUACCCAAAUGUAAUAUUGUUUUUAUAUUCUAGUUGUUCAGAAAUGCAUCUGUAGCGAAAGUGGAAUUGUUAUGCCUUGUAGUUGUACAUUUCUGGCAAAGUUUGAUACAAUAAAACUUUUCUUUUUGAACAGGCA